GCGGGGGGGGCGGGCGCCCACAGUGGGGUAUGAGAUGCCAAUCCUUAAAACAUGUUAAUCACACUGCAAGAUUAUACUGUAGUUAACCACAAUCACCUUUUGCUGCUGCUGCUUCUGAAAGACGUAUCUGGACUGAAUAAUCACCGGAAGGCAUCAUCGCUCAAAUACUUCCAGGAUGUUUUGGUUUUACUUAUUUCUCUUUUUUUUUUUUUUUUUUUUUUUUUUUUUUUAAUAAUAUGCACUUUUUUUCUCUUCUAAGGAAUUUCAUUUCUCCACCCCAUACACACACGUGUAUUUAACCACAGUCUAGUCCGAUCCCCAUACACACGUGUGUUUAACCCCGGUCCAGUCCGCUCCGCUCCCCACACACACACGUGUAGUUAACCCCGGUCCAGUCCGCUCCACACACACACACACGUGAAGUUAACCCCGGUCCAUCCGCUCCCCCUCCCCAUACACACGUGAAGUUAACGCCGGUCCAGUCCGCUCCCCAGGUAUUCCUUAGCUCGUGUCUCACCCAGUGUAACAGUCAUGGGAUUACACAAUAGUGUAGGGAAUCUCUUACAGUAUCUCUGACAGAAUCCAACCCAGAGACUAGAUGUUCUCCAGGGGGGCCUCUGGUUCCCCAACCCAGAGACUAGAUGUUCUCCAGGGGGGCCUCUGGUUCCCCAACCCUGAGAUUAGAUGUUCUCCAGGGGGGCCUCUGGUUCCCCAACCCUGAGAUUAGAUGUUCUCCAGGGGGCCUCUGGUUCCCCAACCCUGAGACUAGAUGUUCUCCAGGGGGGCCUCUGGUUCCGCGGCCGCACCCACCAGGACCAGGGUCAGAACCCUCUAGCCACAAGGAACAAAAGUCAUCCUCAAAGAGCUGUGAUGUUCCUUUAAAUGAAGUUCUAACCGAGGGAAGCGCUGAUUGGGGGGGGGGGGGGGGCUGGGCAACACGUACAUGUCUAUAGCCGGCUAGGCGUGGUUUUAGGUGUGUGUUCUGCUUGUGAGCGUGGAACGGAACAGCUUGGAGCUCAGACUUCAUUCUGCUCCACAAGAGCGUGAGCGUGCGCGUGUGUGUGUGUGGGAAGAGGGAGAUAGAAGUACUGUAUUGUGGCCUCGACUGGUCCUGCUCUAGUGAGGAUUAGCAAGAUGGAGGUCAAAGUUCACACGUCGAGGUCAGAGGGCGUCUCCACUUUCACACCUGCUUCUCAUUCUGUCUCAGUUUGGAGAUCCGCCCCAGCUAAUGCACCGCCCCCGACAC
ensembl:lncRNA